GUUGAAACUAAAACAGAUGAGUUAUAUCCAAGUAAAGACAUGGCACAAAUAUCUAGCGCUGAAAGAAGGGUUUUACUUUAUCUAGACCAUGACAUGGUGUUUAUUCCAAUAAAUAUCCGAGAAAUGCACUGGUAUCUUGCCGUGAUCAAUGCAAGAAAUAUGGAGAUACAAGUGCUCGACUCACUUGGUACAUCAUCCGGUCGCAAUGACCUCAUUGACACUAUAAAAGGACUCCAAAGACAAAUUGAUAUGGUAUCUCAGCGUAAGGAGUUAAAAGAUCAUAGGUGGCCAGACCUCCGAGUUGCUUCUUGGCCACUUAGAGAAAUAGAAAUGGAAUAUGCAAAGCAAACAAAUAGCUCCUCGUGUGGCCUCUUUCUACUAAACUAUAUCGAAUACUGGACAGGGGAUGAACUAUCUGAUAAUUUUACCCAGGACGACAUGUCACACUUUAGGAAAAAAUUGGCUGCUAUAUUACUAUCUUCAGAUAUAAACAAGAGAAAGGGGUGUCCGUUAUACAAGUAUGACAAAGAAGUCGAUGCUGGAUGCUCCUCUGAUGUUCAGAUAUUAGAUAGUCCCACAAAUCCUAAGAAGAGGAAACUACUUUGUGUAUCUGAAGAAAACGAAGUAUUGAUGGAAGAUGAUGUUGGCCCCAUCACUCAAGCAGACUUAGAAAGGUGGUUUGUUCAUGAUUGGGAUAAAAGAACUCCUAUAAAAAUCCCGACCGAUGAGUGCACUAAUGAGUUUUUACUGAGUGGCCUUUCCACAAAGGACAUGCCAGUUACCAAAGCCGAUUUAAUAGAUGUUCUAUGUGAUUACAUUAUGACAAUCCAAGAUGAUACGACAUUAGAGAUGACAUGGGUGCGAAGUUUCAACCCUUUUAAGAUAGAAAUAUCUGUCAAAGACCUGCAAAACGUAUUAAGGGUAAAUCUAGAUAUGACUCUAAAAUGUUUUGACAUGGCUGUUCGAUUGUUGGC
rnacentral:misc_RNA from 1 species